rnacentral:rRNA from 1 species
GGCGAGUGAAGCGGCAACAGCUCAAAUUUGAAAUCUGGCCUCUUUGGGGUCCGAGUUGUAAUUUGUAGAGGAUGUUUCGGGUACCGCCUCGGUUUAAAUUUCUUGGAACAGAAUGUCAAAGAGGGUGAGAGUCCCGUCUUGGACCGGCGGUAGGGCCCGUGUGAAACUCCUUCGACGAGUCGAGUUGUUUGGGAAUGCAGCUCAAAAUGGGUGGUAAAUUUCAUCUAAAGCUAAAUAUUGGCCAGAGACCGAUAGCGCACAAGUAGAGUGAUCGAAAGAUGAAAAGCACUUUGAAAAGAGAGUUAAACAGUAUGUGAAAUUGUUGAAAGGGAAGCGCUUACAACCAGACUUGAGCGCGGCGGUUCCCCCUUCCUUUUGGUUGGGUUACUCCGUCGUGUCCAGGCCAACAUCGGUUCUGGGGGUCGGUCAAAGACCCUGGGAAUGUACCUACCCUCCGGGCGUAGACUUAUAGCCCAGGGUGUCAUGCGGCCUCCCGGGACCGAGGAACGCGCUUCGGCUCGGAUGUUGGCGUAAUGGUUGUCAGCGACCCGUCUUGAAACACGGACCAAGGAGUCUAACAUCUAUGCGAGUGUUUGGGUGU